CGUUCCCGGGCCUUGUACACACCGCCCGUCACACCACGAAAGUCAGCAACACCCGAAGCCAGUGGCCCAACCGUAAGGAAGGAGCCGUCGGAGGUGGGGUCGGUGAUUGGGGUG
rnacentral:rRNA from 1 species